GUCGAGGUAGCCUAGUCUGGCCCACGGCGCAGGGUUGCUAACUCUGUGGCGUCAAGCCUCGAGGGUUCAAAUCCCUCCCUCGACGC
rnacentral:tRNA from 1 species